rnacentral:rRNA from 1 species
AGUGCACGCUGGCGGUAGGCCUAACACAUGCCAGUCGAACGGCAGCACAGUAAGAGCUUGCUCUUACGGGUGGCGAGUGGCGGACGGGUGAGGAAUACAUCGGAAUCUACUUUUUCGUGGGGGAUAACGUAGGGAAACUUACGCUAAUACCGCAUACGACCUACGGGUGAAAGCAGGGGAUCUUCGGACCUUGCGCGAUUGAAUGAGCCGAUGUCGGAUUAGCUAGUUGGCGGGGUAAAGGCCCACCAAGGCGACGAUCCGUAGCUGGUCUGAGAGGAUGAUCAGCCACACUGGAACUGAGACACGGUCCAGACUCCUACGGGAGGCAGCAGUGGGGAAUAUUGGGCAAUGGGCGCAAGCCUGAUCCAGCCAUACCGCGUGGGUGAAGAAGGCCUUCGGGUUGUAAAGCCCUUUUGUUGGGAAAGAAAAGCAGCAGGUUAAUACCCCGCUGUUCUGACGGUACCCAAAGAAUAAGCACCGGCUAACUUCGUG